rnacentral:rRNA from 1 species
GUCUACGGCCAUGCUACUCUGAACAAGCCCGAUCCCAUCUGAUCUCGAAAGCUAAGCAGAGUCGGGUCUGGUUAGUACUUGAAUGAGAGACCAGGUGCUGUAGGUG